GCGCCGAGCCGAGACUCAUUUCUUGAACCAGAUGAAAGUUUCCAUUCCUGCAAAGGAAAUCUGAGAUC
rfam:Otolemur garnettii contig178258, whole genome shotgun sequence.